UCAAAUCUGAGACCCCUUGAACGAGGUGAUGGCUGAGAUCUUUCCAGCUCUAUGGUGAUACACUUUGGAUAUGGCGCCCACCUUUAUUAGCCUGAAAGUCACAGGGUUUCCUUAUCAGACUGUGGAUCAUGGGCUUCAGAACUUCAUAGCAAUGGACUUUCUGGAAAGCAGUGUCAGAGCUCCUGGGAAUGAAAAGAGGCUGAUCUGACCCAUGAAUCCCCUUUUACUGAAGCGCAUUUGUAACAUGUGUUCUGGAAAUUUUCUGUGCUUAGCACCAACUGUUUUCAGGAAAAUGGUUGUUUUCAUACUGCUCAGAAAAUAUAUCUGGUUAAUUGGUCUGCAAAUGCCAGUGUGAGAUCAGUAUGUGUUAGACUCUGUAGGUGCAGCUUAGUAGUAGGAUGCUUGCCAAGCGUGACCAAGACCAGGAUUUGAGCUCCAGCACUUCCAAAAUAAAAUUUUCUGUGUAUGUUUGCAUCACAGUAUCUUUCUAAAAACAGGAUUGCUAAAAAGUACCUCUUAGAUGUUAUAACAAUCUAAUUUUGUACAGUGCUGUGGUUCUGUGGCUUACAUGACCUUUGCAGCCAAGAGCAGCAGUGGCCUUAAAAGCUCCUUUUCAAAAGCAUCGUCCCAGCCCACUGAGCCACCUGUCAGAAGCACAGCCCUGGUGCAGAGUCAGAUACUGCUCGAUCUGUGAGCAUGCCACAAUGGCUCAAAUAAAGACAGUAUGGCUCCUUAAACUUUCUUAUUAUUGAAACGUUUUAACUUACUCAUGAGUGGAAGGAACAGCAUGACAAACUGCCAUGUACAUCAGCCCAGCUUGAACAAUUAACAUUUUGCUAAACUUGUUUCCUCUAGCCCCCCACUGUAAUUUUGAAACAUUUUAGAGAAGUUUAGACAUUUUGUUGUUUUGACCAUAAAUAUUUCAGUGUGCCUCUAACUUAUAAGCAUAUUUUAAAAUAUAUAUAACCAUCAGGCCAUUAUCAUAUGUAACAAAACUAACAGUAAAUCUUGUAAUAGUCCAAAUUCACAUUUCUCCAGCUGUCUCCAAGAUUUCUUUCUAGACCUAGUCUCCUGGAGUCUAGCACUAGUUUUCAGGACCGAGUUAAUAGCAUCAAAAGAGCAGGUUCUUACCUUGGCCUCAGGCCUUGGGUGCAAGUGUUGUACCAGCCAUAUUUAUGGUUAAGACAUUGAGAAUCUUUUAAAAGCCAGGCUUUGUGGAAUGGGCUUUCUUUUUUUUUUUUUUCUUUUUUGUUAAAUUCCAGCACAUAGAAGGCAAAGUCAGGCAGCUCUCUGUGAGUUCAACCCCAAAUAGUUCUAAGACAGCCAGAGCUACAUAGUGUGGCCAUGUAGUGUGGCUACAUAGUGUAUCCAGAAAAAAGAAAUCUAUUUAAAAAUUUUCAACAUUUAUGAGCUAAAAGGUAAGCCAGAGAAUGGAGGAAGACAUCUCCAAAGACUAUCUCAAUAUAUCAGGAUGUAAAUGCAGAUUAAAAACACAUAAAACACUGUAAUAGAAAAACUACCACAUUAAAAGAAUGGACAAAGUAUUUGCUCAUAUGAUUAACAGAAGAUCUAAGGAUGACAAGUGGGUAUGUGAGAAGAUAGCCAAUAUCUAGAGUUAUCAGUAAAAUACAAAUUAGAACAGUGAUGUAUUUCUAUAGACCUGCUAAAAUGGCUGAAUCACAAGACUGUUAAUAUCAAUGGCUAAUGAAAGGC
rnacentral:lncRNA from 1 species